CAUGAACCUCUUGAUCUUGCUAAAGACUAUAUUUUCAACAACAACAACAAAAAAAAAAACAACCUUGGAUCCAAAGUUCAGUAAGGUCUCCUGUCUGUGUAAUAAGUGACUGUAUCCCAAAGGGAAAAAAAAAAUUGUCUGCCUGAACUUGACUGUCUGAGCUUCUACAGAAAAUAAUCUGAACGAAUUAAAUUCCCCAAUGCUUUGUUUGUAGUGCUAACAGGCCCGAUGCUACACGUUUCCUUUGUAUUGUUGAUAAAGAGUCACUUUACUCUAGCAGUGAAAGUUCAUUCUGUUUUAUUGGCUUUUCCCUUACAUCACCUCUCACUAACUUGCAUGAAACAUGUCUAUAUAUUUCUUAUAAACAGGCUAAAUUUGUGACUAUGGGACAUGCUAAUGCUAUAGCUUUGCUGGUGCUAACAGUGCUAUCGGUAGGAAUUCACGAGGGGGCCCACGUAAAUGAAAUUGGUUAGUUUACUGUUGUUAAUUUGCCGGCUGGUGCUUUUUCCAGAAGCUAAGUGUCACUGUAUAGUGAAGUUAACUAAAAAUAAGCAAAUGGACUUUUAAACAGUUAAAUCUUGUCGAAACGUUUGCCAGAAAGAGUAGAAAGCAAAUGUUGUCACUUACUCUUUGUAUGGAUGUCACAGAGCAACAGGACCUGGAUCUGGGAACCGUAUCGGUUUCAAAAGACUGGACUGCUGUAUGAUGAACAGGACAGCCCAACUCAAGAGCAAAUUUUCCUCAAGACGAAAGAGACAUUUCAAGCAACAAUGAAAGAAGGGCCAGCUAUCCUUUGCCAGGACCUCCACAGCCUGUCUGGUCCUCCUGAGCAGUUACUGCCUUCCCAGCAUUAUCCAGCAGGCCCAUCUGUGAGUUGGAGGACGAGAUCUGAUUGAAGCACGGGAUCUACAGUGCUAAUCUAAUGUACAUAUGAGCAAAUAUGCAGCAAUGCUUUGAAUGAGCAUUAAGCCUCUUCAAAAUGUGUGAAUAUAGAUAAUGAAUAAAUCAGUUCUCUUCAAA